UGAGGAAUCUUGCACAAUGGGCGCAAGCCUGAUGCAGCGACGCCGCGUGGGUGAAGAAGGUUUUCGGAUCGUAAAACCCUUUUCUGUGUGACGAGAACGGACGGUAGCACAGGAAUAAGUCUCGGCUAACUACGUGCCAGCAGCCGCGGUAAAACGUAGGAGACAAACGUUAUCCGGAGUUACUGGGCGUAAAGGGCGUGCAGGCGGCAGUCUAAGUCUGGCGUGAAAUAUCCCGGCUCAACCGGGAGAGGUCGUCGGAUACUGGGCAGCUCGAGGGCGGUAGAGGCGUGUGGAAUUCCGGGUGUAGUGGUGAAAUGCGUAGAGAUCCGGAGGAACACCAGUGGCGAAGGCGACACGCUGGGCCAUAACUGACGCUAAGACGCGAAAGCAUGGGUAGCGAACGGGAUUAGAUACCCUAGUAGUCCCUGAGCGGGCUGGCAAGGCGCAU
rnacentral:rRNA from 1 species